rnacentral:rRNA from 1 species
GAUGAACGCUGGCGGCGUGCUUAACACAUGCAAGUCGAGCGAAGCACCUUGACGGAUUUCUUCGGAUUGAAGCCUUGGUGACUGAGCGGCGGACGGGUGAGUAACGCGUGGGUAACCUGCCUCAUACAGGGGGAUAACAGUUGGAAACGGCUGCUAAUACCGCAUAAGCGCACAGUACCGCAUGGUACGGUGUGAAAAACUCCGGUGGUAUGAGAUGGACCCGCGUCUGAUUAGGUAGUUGGUGGGGUAACGGCCUACCAAGCCGACGAUCAGUAGCCGACCUGAGAGGGUGACCGGCCACAUUGGGACUGAGACACGGCCCAAACUCCUACGGGAGGCAGCAGUGGGGAAUAUUGCACAAUGGGGGAAACCCUGAUGCAGCGACGCCGCGUGAGCGAUGAAGUAUUUCGGUAUGUAAAGCUCUAUCAGCAGGGAAGAAAAUGACGGUA